rnacentral:tRNA from 1 species
GCCCCCAUAGCUCAGUGGAUAGAGCGUUGCCCUCCGGAGGCAGAGACCCGCGUUCGAGUCGCGGUGGGGGCA